rnacentral:lncRNA from 1 species
AGAUGCUUCUACCUUACAAGCCCCAUCUUUAGAGGGCAUCCCAUUCUUCAGCAGUGCCAGGCUGGCUGUCCUUUCUCUGUCAGUACUUUUCUCAGAUAAUUUCUUCUCUUCAGUAAUUUCCCCCUUCUAACCAGGCCACCUUUAUGACUGAUCACAUUACAGGGCUGGACUGGCAGAAGACUGAAAUGCUUACCAGGCUGUGAGGUACCUACCCAGCGAGCUGGAUGUGGGAUAAGAAAUACCCUGAGCCAUUUCACACCAGCAGCACUACUGGUGAAGCCUGGUGGCCAGCAUCACUUCCCUGAGCUCCUCUGUAGUGGGUUCCUCUUCUCUUCCAAGCUUCAAAAAGACUGGCACAUCUGAAACAACCAUGGUGCUUACCUCAAGCAGCCAGAGGAAGUGAGCUGGGUUUUCUUGUCCUUGUCUUUACCCCAGGCCAUUUCACACCUCCUCAAACACGUCUGCCCAGAGCUGCUGAGGAUGAGAAAGAGGCCACCGCUCACACAGGGCAGACUGCAGGAGCACUCACUGGCCCAGGUUUGGGUAAAGUCCAUGGUAAAUGCAAGCACCUGAAAAUUGCCUGUGGGAAUUUAUGGGGAGAAACCCACACUUUACAUGUGAACAGGAUGAACUGGACAUGGAAGUCCAUGAGUCUGAACCCCUAAGGCACUCAGGCUGCUCUUCUCACGGUCACCCCAGUGCCGCAGUGGCACAGGGCAGGGGGCCAUGAAGUCGGAGUUUGAAGAAUGCUCAGCAAUUUAUUUGAGAUUUCUCCCCGUGGCUGGCUCUGUUUAGUGUGCACAGGGGCAAAUUUGCCUUCAUUCAGGCAAAUUUUGGGGAUUGCAUGUGCUGGGGAAGAGCUGAUUUAUAGUAACUGGACAUGGUAGCUCUCAAAGGAAAACAUAUCUCUCCUCUGAGUAUGUGCUAUGGAUUUCUGUAAAUUAAAAAGCAGCACCUGUCUUGAAGACCACCCAGUCUCCUACAACCAGCACUGAGGAAAACUGCAUCCAACAGAGCCCAUCUCCACACUGGUACCCCUGAGGUUUUAAAGUACUGUUUUAUGUUUUGGACUGUUCAGGCUUGGGCUGUCAGAUGUGAAGCCCUUAUCAAAAUUUUAUGGUGCUCUUGGUAGGGAUUUUAAAAGGGUGAUACACAGAAAACCUUAGAAAUACUUAGACAAUGACUUGAAGUGAUUUUUAUGGGGUUUCCAGUUCCUAAAAAUAUUUUGUACAGUUUUGAUAUAAAUUACAUGGGGG